GUCGGCGAGCGGAACGGACGGGCCCUGCUCCGGAGGCGGCGGCGAGGAAUCGCGCAUCUCGCGGGCGUCCUCGGCCAUUGCGAGGGCUUACUUCAUCAACACCGCAUCCGAAGAAAGCCCUCCGAAUAAAAAUGCGAGCGGAAUCGGUCAACGAUAGUGGGACAGCGAAGCGGAGACUGGUUGGAGAGGGGGGGGAGAGAUCGGAGUGAACGGCGGCGCGCAAUGUGGGCGGGGAUCAGCGCAGAUCUAAUUGAGAGGCGGCCGGGGAAAUGGCUGCCGGGAGGGGGGUGGGAUGGAUCAGCGGCGAUGCGUGACGAGAUCCGGGGAGGGAGAGGGGGAGGCGGAUGGGAUGGGAUGGGAUGGAUGAACUGACGAAGAGAAGGGGAAGGGCACGGGAGAAGGAGACGCGGCCGGUUCACGGGUUGCGGCUGGCUGGAGGAGUAGCUAGCUAGCCGGCCAUCCAGCUUACUUUUC
rnacentral:lncRNA from 1 species